GGUUGGUGGGUUACCGCAGAACGAGGGGAGAGGAGAGGGGAGGGGAGGAGGGCGGCGGCCGGAUAGGCCGCCGAGUGACGGCUCCGCGGUGGUGGGCUCGGCGUGCGGCUCUGCUCUGCGGCGGCCGUGGAGGGCGCGGGCUGCUCUGGGCCUCGCGGGAGGUGGAGCGGCGGCCCUGGGGGUGAGGUCGCCGGCGGGCCUCGUGGUGGCUUGCGUGGGGGGCUCGGAUCCAGAGCCUGGGUGGAUCUGGCCCUCCCUUCAGGCGUGGUGCUUCGCCGCGGGGAGGUGCCCCGGCGGCCAGCGGCGGAGUUGUGUUUGUGCAGCAGCAUGCUCACUCCCCUUGGAGCUUGGCGGCGACCAUGAUGGUGGAGCACUGGCUAAUCCCAAAAUCCAAUUGAAUGCAUGCUGUUUGAUGUAAUUCUCCCAGAACUUCAUCUCGAAGGCAAGGAGUGAUUAGCCACCCCCAGGUGGGUUUCCAUGUCCUGAACUGAUAUGCUGUUGUAUCCUGAUUUUCAAUGUCUAUGUUGCUGACCUCCUUGAUGAUUCACGGCCUUUGAGCCAUUUUUAACAGCUAUGUCUAACCAUUUCUGUCUGAGAUACUGUCAUGUGAGUUAAAAUACUCCACAAAUUGCUCACAUGUGCUUUUGCUACUUCGGAUUGUUUUCUGGGAACCAAAGAUGGCAAAAUCUCAAAAUAUCCUGUGUUUUCCUAUGUUGGAGUACUUGAAGUAUCCGUCUUUCGAAAGUAUGACCAGUUCAAUUUUCUGUGCACAGUAUUUUUUCCUCUUGCCAAUGCAGUGAAAAGGAAAGGUUCAGUUAUGGGUUUGCAGGUUGUGCUGUGAACAGGGCAUCAAUGGACGACUCUGAGACAAGGGUUGAUGAUGUUCAUGAAUUGGGGUUCAAAAGAACAUUAUCAAUUGUUCAGGUUUUUCAUAUUUGCGUCAGAUGAUAAUGAUGUUUGCUGCAUCGCACCCUUUCAGCAAUAGCCGUUUCGAGGGAUCACAAACCUUACCAAACAGAGAGACAGAGAAUUAUAGAAGCUGCAGGCUUUGUGAGGUGGGCUGGGACGUGGUGUGUUGCUGGUGUUCGUGCUGUUUCUCGAGCAUCUGGUGAUAAACUUACAAAGCAGAAGCUGUUGCCAUGGUCAAGCCAAUAGAGGAUCCUGAGCAUGCUGCAAAGGGACUGGUUCAAGAAGCUUCCCAAAGAGCAAACGCCGACACAUGACCGUUGUCAUUUGUGCCCAAAGGAUGGAACAACGUUGACUGGUGAUGUACCGAGUGGCGAGUGAGGAGGUUGCCAACGAACUAAUCUUGAUAAUUGUUCUUGUUCUUCCGUGGUGCUGUAUCUGCUGUUGUAUAUGAUGCUCGAACAAGAUGUCAUGUGGCGGCGGCACCCUCCCCUGCUGCGAAACCAAACUGACUUGGCCUGAGUUUACAGUUUAGCCUUGGUUCCAUCCUCCUAGCUAUCCUAGAUGGUAGGUGAUGUCGGAGCAGAGGGGUACUUUUCUUCUUCUUGCUGAACCUUACACUGCGCAGCUUCUAUGCUGGUGCUUCAUGCUAGUGAUUUUUAUCAUCAGUAAUGUAAAGGCAUGCUUGAAUGAUUUUAACAAAGUUGCUCUGCCUGUGAUGUCA